CCUGUAUUACCCCCGGGGGCUGUUAUCCGUUUUGGUGCGCAUGCCCGUCUUGUACGGGAAGCCUGAUUAACGGUCAUGUCCCCACUUGAACCGCCGGUUCAAGGACGAAGGCAUACUACGGCGCAGGCGGGAGAUAC
rnacentral:sRNA from 1 species